AUAGUAUUUCUUAUUCCAUUCAACCUUUUAUGGGUAACAUUUUUAUGUUUACAUUUGUAUUGUUUCAGUUGCUUACUGCCUGCGCAAGGAUGAGGAUCUCUUAUAGUGGCUCAAGGCUACACAGUUGGGAAGAGCACUGUGUAAAGUUGCUCAUGGUGUAUCCCACACGUGAGUAAGGAGUGAAACAUAGAAGACUGUUUGCUGCAGCAUCAUCGAUGAACAUGACUCUAGAAUUUUCUUCCAGAACUUCUUCCAAGAUGGUUAACUGAAUAUAAAAGAGAGUGCAGAGGGUAGAAGUUGUGUUGUAGAGAAAAGAGUUGCAGUUGGUUGGAGUGACAGCACA